rnacentral:rRNA from 1 species
AGUGAACGCUGGCGGUAGGCCUAACACAUGCAAGUCGAACGGCAGCACAGUAAGAGCUUGCUCUUACGGGUGGCGAGUGGCGGACGGGUGAGGAAUACAUCGGAAUCUACUUUUUCGUGGGGGAUAACGUAGGGAAACUUACGCUAAUACCGCAUACGACCUACGGGUGAAAGCAGGGGAUCUUCGGACCUUGCGCGAUUGAAUGAGCCGAUGUCGGAUUAGCUAGUUGGCGGGGUAAAGGCCCACCAAGGCGACGAUCCGUAGCUGGUCUGAGAGGAUGACCAGCAACACUGGAACUGAGACACGGUCCAGACUCCUAGGGGAGGCAGCAGGGGGAAAUAUUGGAAAAUGGGCGCAGGCCUGAUCCAGCCAUACCGGGGGGGGAAAAAAGGCUGUGGGGUUGAAAACCCUUUUUGUGGGAAAAAAAAAGCAGCAGGUUAAUACCCCGCUGUUCGGAGGGACCCAAAAAAAAAAGCACCGGCUAACUUCGUG